UGGGGAAUUUUGGACAAUGGGCGCAAGCCUGAUCCAGCCAUGCCGCGUGCGGGAAGAAGGCCUUCGGGUUGUAAACCGCUUUUGUCAGGGAGGAAACGAGUUUCUCUAAUACAGAGACUUAAUGACGGUACCUGAAGAAUAAGCACCGGCUAACUACGUGCCAGCAGCCGCGGUAAUACGUAGGGUGCAAGCGUUAAUCGGAAUUACCGGGCGUAAAGCGUGCGCAGGCAGUUAUGCAAGACAGAGGUGAAAUCCCCGGGCUCAACCUGAGACCUGCAUUUGUGACUGUAUAGCUAAAGUACGGUAGAGGGAGAUAGAAUUACGCGUGUAGCAGUGAAAUGCGUAGAUAUGCGGAGGAAAACCGAUGGCGAAGGAAAUCCCCUGGACCUGUACUGACGCUCAUGCACGAAAGCGUGGGGAGCAAACA
rnacentral:rRNA from 1 species